ACUGGAUGCAGAAGAGAGCUGGCCCAGAGCACUGGUGUGUUCCAAUCCCCUUGGAGGAACUGGGGCAAGAGGAGUGUAUGCUGGGAACUGGGGAACUUUCAACUGAGGAUCUGAUUUAGGAAGGCAUCAGAAGAGCUAGCCUUUCUGAAGGCUUGCGGUUACAGCCCUGGCCCUCUGCUGCUCAGGUCCUGGACUCUUGGGACCUGUCCUAGUCUGACGGCCAUAAGCCAGCGAUGGAACACUGCAGUGCUGCAUAAUUCUGAUCGCUGGAACCUGGAGCGCUCGGGAACAUACAGCCACGGAGAGCUACCAUGCAGUGAGGUUGGCAUGGAGACAGCAUGAAGACCGCGUAUACAGUAUUGCAUGAGGAAGCUUGCAUGCAACGGAGGAAAAGAAGAAACCAUAGCAACAGCGGGGGUCCUUUGGACUUAACACUCCACAGACAAGGCCUUGAUGUUAACAUUCUGCCUGCAC